CUACGGGGUGCUGCAGUGAGGAAUAUUGCACAAUGGGGGGAACCCUGAUGCAGCAACGCCGCGUGGAGGAUGACGCAUUUCGGUGUGUAAACUCCUUUUAUAUGUCAAGAAAAUGACGGUAGCAUAUGAAUAAGCACCGGCUAACUCCGUGCCAGCAGCCGCGGUAAUACGGAGGGUGCAAGCGUUACUCGGAAUCACUGGGCGUAAAGGACGCGUAGGCGGGUUGGAAAGUCAGGUGUGAAACCCUACAGCUUAACUGUAGAACUGCACUUGAAACUUCUAAUCUAGAGUAUGGGAGGGGGAGAUGGAAUUAGUGGUGUAGGGGUAAAAUCCGUAGAUAUCACUAGGAAUACCUAAAGCGAAGGCGAUCUCCUGGAGCAUUACUGACGCUAAGGCGUGAAAGCGUGGGGAGCAAACAGGAUUAGAUACCCUAGUAGUC
rnacentral:rRNA from 1 species